rnacentral:rRNA from 1 species
GAUGAACGCUAGCGGCAGGCUUAACACAUGCAAGUCGAGGGGUAUAGGUUUUCGGACCUAGAGACCGGCGCACGGGUGCGUAACGCGUAUGCAAUCUACCUUUCACAGAGGGAUAGCCCAGAGAAAUUUGGAUUAAUACCUCAUAGUAUAGCAGUUUCGCAUGAAACCACUAUUAAAGUAUCAACGGUGAAAGAUGAGCAUGCGUCCCAUUAGCUAGAUGGUAAGGUAACGGCUUACCAUGGCUACGAUGGGUAGGGGUCCUGAGAGGGAGGUACCCCACACUGGUACUGAGACACGGACCAGACUCCUACGGGAGGCAGCAGUAAGGAAUAUUGGUCAAAGGACGCAAGUCUGAUCCAGCCAUGCCGCGUGCAGGAUGACGGUCGUAUGGAUUGUAAACUGCUUUUGUACGAGAAGAAACAACAUUACGUGUAAUGUCUUGACGGUAUCGUAGGAAUAAGGAUCGGCUAACUCCGUGCCAGCUGCCGCCGUAACAC